GUCCAUCCUGCUACACCAUUUAUGACUACAGCAAAGGCUACAUAUAAGAAAUACAUGCAACAGCAUUCAGAGGGUGCCAGGCAUGGGACCCCCAGAGGGU